rnacentral:tRNA from 1 species
CGCGGAGUAGAGCAGCUGGUAGCUCGUCGGGCUCAUAACCCGGAGGUCGGAGGUUCAAGUCCUCCCUCCGCAACCA